rnacentral:tRNA from 1 species
GGAAGGGAAUCGGUGUUGGUAUGCCGGAUAGUCUUCAAAACUAUUGGACGCUGUAAGACAGUGUCAGUGGGUUCGACUCCCACUCUCUUCCGCCA